rnacentral:rRNA from 1 species
UACGGGGGGAGCAAGCGUUGUUCGGAUUUACUGGGCGUAAAGGGCGCGUAGGCGGCCACCGCAAGUCAGUUGUGAAAUCUCUGGGCUUAACCCAGAAAGGUCAACUGAUACUGCGGGGCUAGAGUGCAGAAGGGGCAACUGGAAUUCUCGGUGUAGCGGUGAAAUGCGUAGAUAUCGAGAGGAACACCUGCGGCGAAGGCGGGUUGCUGGGCUGACACUGACGCUGAAGCGCGAAAGCUAGGGGAGCGAACGGG